UACCAUUCCUUUAUUAUUUAAGUUUCUAGACUUCCUAUUCUGUAAUUUAGAAACAUUUUUUCUUUUGUAAAUACAUUCUUAGAUAAAAAAGUUAAAUGCCUUACUUGCCUUUCCAUUCUGUAAUUUAGAAACAUUUUCUCUUCUGGAAAUACAUUCUUUCAUAAAAAAGUUAACUGCAUUACUUGCUUCCCACAGUUUAUUUAUCCUCACUAACAUGUUAGUAUUACAGUUUCUCCACCUCUCCGUGUCUUUCUCACCGUUUUUGCUUCUGUGCAUGGAAGAUUACAUGUUGAACCUUGACCAAAGUAGUCCAUCCUGUCUGGAUUUGAUUCAAGAACUGCAUAUAUUUAUAUUGUUUGGAAUUGUUCACUGGAUAGGGAUUGUUUGUGGAAGUCAAACUUCUGGUUGUCAAAAAAUAUAUAAAACUUCUGGAUUGAAUAAAGAGAGAAAUACAGGAGUAUUUUGUGCUAAGGUGUUUUGGUUGGUCAAGUUUCGCUUCAAGGAGUUUGUGCUGUUGUAAAUAGGAUUAGUUAUUCCUUGUCCAAAGAAAAAAAAAAAUUAAAUGAUAUUCUGGAGGAGAAUUUCAGUUGGAAAAUGUAUGAGUUGCAAUAGUUUAAACUUCAUCGAAAAAUGCAUUAGGAAUUAAGCUUAUCAUUUCUUGAAAAAUUUGGAAUUAAAGAUGUUUCUGAUUGUUCUCAAUUAUGAGAUCAUUUGUUAGGUUGAAGAACAGAAACCCAAGAAGAAGGCUCAUGGUGAAAAGGAGCCCCGGAUGAAGCACCAUCAUAGCUGUUUAAAGAAUCAAAAGCAUUCAUCAUCCAGGAAACAAUCAGAUUUAGAAAAUGUCACUGCAGAAGGGGAAAAGGGGAAGACUAGUAGACAGAAAUCUUGAUGUUGUAGUAUAGCCUCAUAAAUUGAGCAAAUGGAAUUAAAGUCUAAAAUAGCAUGUGUUAAAUUAGAAAAAGAUUCAGAAAGUUAUUUAUUUUCUGUUAUUGUCUUUCAUUAGUAUAAAUACAUUCAGUACUUGUAAUUAAUUCAUUCACACGAAAGGUUUUCAUUUCAUUUUCCUCUGCUUCUAUUCUGUGUUCAUCAGAAAAUUGACAUGGUAUCAGAUUGAAAAUCAUUCUUGCUUCUGCAAAUUCAUCUUCUCGUCUCUAAAACUUUGAAUUCUUGAAAUCUGCAUUACAAAAUUCUGCUCGAGAAUUUUUGUUGUUGUCUUCUUCGUCUUCUUUCAUUUCUUGCACUUUCUCUAAUAGAUUCCCGAAAUGGAUUCUACCAAUUCUGCCACUUCUCCUCGCUCUGUCAUAAAUCUCUCAGAUUAUUCCUCUAGUCCUUAUUAUCUACAUCCAAAUGACAAUCCUGGUGCCCUCCUCGUUUCAGAAAUUUUUUCUGGAGAUAAUUACAUUGCAUGGAGUCGAUCAAUCACCAUGGCAUUGACUGUCAAGAACAAGGUGGCAUUCAUUAAUGGUUCGAUUGCUGCUACUCCUGCUGAUCAACUUGUUCUUCAUAGUGCUUGGCUGCGUGUUAACAAUUUGAAAAUUGACACUUGAUGUUGAUGAAAAGGAAAGAGAAGGCAGAGGGUAUUGUGAUUCAAGUCAUCACAAUGGGAUUGAGUCACACUUCAAGCGUCACAAUGUUGCUCCCAAACUUUCAGAGGAAGAGCGGGCUACUAGGCGGUAUGAGAUGCAAGUGGAUGUUGAACUGCAUGAAGAGCAAAGAUGGAAACGUUUGAGGAAGGCUGAGGAGGACGAUGGGUGAGAAACUACCCAUGCCAGCUUAUCUAGCGGCAGAAAUUUCUUGGAUGCUGCUCAGAAAAGUAUCUAUGGUGCUGAAAAAGGGGGAAGCUGGGUAGGUCUGCAGUUGAUUGCUGCCUAUCCUGAAUAGUUUUAGCUGAUAACUCCAGGUUUGCUUCUCCACCUUGGCCCCCCUGCACAUGGGGUAUCUCUCAAGUAUUAGCUUUGAACCAUGUAUUGAAAUAUGAAUAGGGCGAAGUGAUAAUCGCAUUCUUUCACAAUUUACUUCUCCUUAGGGGCUAAUACCUUCCAGUAAAACUUGGCUUGAAAAUGAGGUGCCAAUUACUGACAUCUCCAGGCGUAAAUGUUAUAUAACACUCGCCAUGUGUGUGUUCUAUCACGUUUACAAAUUAAGGAUGACAAUGAAAAUUCAACCACUUCUUAAGGAAUUGAUUGGUUUGUUCUGUA